rnacentral:rRNA from 1 species
GUUGGUUCUACCCGAAGCUGCUGUGCUAACCGCAAGGAGGCAGGCAACCACGGUAGGGUUAGCGACUGGGGUGAAGUCGUAACAAGGUAGCYGUAGGUGAACCUGCAGAAGGAUCA